AUGUUAGCACCUUCUUCCUCUGCAUCCCUACAACCUCCAAGCCCGUGGCCCUUCCACCAUUACUCACCUUUCCAGGUCACUAAUUCAUGGUCCUGCCAGCCACCCGCGAGCCCGGAGGCCGGCCGUGUUUACAAACUAGCCCCGGAGGAGAGGGCUGAAUCGCACUUUAAAGGCCACGGGCUCCCACAGGCUUCCGUCCUCUCUCGCGAGAUCCGACUGACAAACCUUCUCCCCGCCCCACUCCCGGCAUCCCUGCCGCUUUCUUCUUGCGCCCCUCCCCUUCACGCACACGCCCCUUCCUGCUUUCCACCGAGGGAGCGCCCGCGGGUCAGGGAACUGCAGAAAGCUGUGAUUGGCAGCCGUCGGGAGGCGGGCACGAGAAGCUGCACCGGAUCUGGGGCGCGCGCGCAGGUGGCGGAGGAGCGAGCAGGAGGGCGUGGGCGGUGUGAGAGAAGAAAGGGUCCUUCUUACCUUGGACACGACCUGUAGGAUCAACUGUCAAUCAAAUUCUCUAGCUCUUUACAUGUAGAGCAUCAAUGCUUCUCAAGAAUGAACAUUCUAAGCACUGCUCCUGCCUGAGACUACAUCCCUGGAGAAACUCCCUGUGGGCCAAGUGGACCAUGCCACGGGUCAGAAGAAUUAGUAGAGUUGAGUGAGCUCAAACUCCGUAAACCUCAGAGUUGAGAAUGGUAGGAGUGGGGCCAACCCCCUGCCUAACUCUACGUGCCCUGAAUCAUGAUGCCCCACUGAGUACCAUGGCAAUCAGUCAAGUAGCGUACAGACCUGGAGUUCUCCAUGCUAAUAAGGUAUCUAGGUAGAUCCCGAGCGCUCCACCAGUGAGCUUUCCUUUUUGGCCAUUCUUUCCCACAAAAGGUAUUUAAUCCUUGGUUCACCCUGAGUAAGGUGUAUGCAUUACAUCCAUCAAAUAAAGGUUUGGACAAGCAA